rnacentral:rRNA from 1 species
UAGUCCACGCCGUAAACGAUGGACACUAGUUGUUGGAAUUAUUCAGUGACUAAGCGAAAGUGAUAAGUGUCCCACCUGGGGAGUACGAUCGCAAGAUUGAAACUCAAAGGAAUUGACGGGGGCCCGCACAAGCGGUGGAGCAUGUGGUUUAAUUCGAUGAUACGCGUGGAACCUUACCUGGGCUUAAAUGCAGAACGACGUUUCGGGAAACUGAUACUCCCUUCGGGGCGUUCUACAAGGUGCUGCAUGGUUGUCGUCAGCUCGUGCCGUGAGGUGUCGGGUUAAGUCCCAUAACGAGCGCAACCCCUAUCGUUAGUUGCCAGCGGGUAAUGCCGGGGACUCUAGCGAAACUGCCGGUGUAAACCGAGAGGAAGGUGGGGAUGACGUCAAAUCAGCACGGGCCCUUAUGUCCAAGGGCUACACACGUGUUACAAUGGCCGGUACAGAGGGGCAGGCUACCUAGUGAUAGGGAUACAAAUCUCGAAAGCCCGGGUNUCAGUUCGGGAUUGGGAGUCUGGCAACUCGACUCC